rnacentral:rRNA from 1 species
AAACUUUCAAGCAACGGAUCUCUUGGUUCCGGCAUCGAUGAAGAACGCAACGAAAUGCGAUACGUAAUGUGAAUUGCAAAAUUCAGUGAAUCAUCGAGUCUUUGAACGCACAUUGCGCCCCCUGGUAUUCCGGGGGGCAUGCAUGUCCGAGCGUCAUUG